UACGUAGGGGGCUAGCGUUGUCCGGAAUCAUUGGGCGUAAAGCGCGUGUAGGCGGUCCGGUAAGUCCGCUGUGAAAGUCGGGGGCUCAACCCUCGAAAGCCGGUGGAUACUGUCGGGCUCGAGUACGGAAGAGGCGAGUGGAAUUCCUGGUGUAGCGGUGAAAUGCGCAGAUAUCAGGAGGAACACCAAUUGCGAAGGCAGCUCGCUGGGACGUUACUGACGCUGGAGACGCGAAAGCGUGGGGAGCAAAACAGG
rnacentral:rRNA from 1 species